rnacentral:rRNA from 1 species
CAGCAGCCACGGGAAUACGUAGGUGGCAAGCGUUGUCCGGAAUUAUUGGGCGUAAAGGGCUCGCGGGCGGUUUCUUAAGUCUGAUGUGAAAGCCCCCGGCUCAACCGGGGAGGGUCAUUGGAAACUGGGAAACUUGGGUGCAGAAGAGGAGAGUGGAAUUCCACGUGUAGCGGUGAAAUGCGUAGAGAUGUGGAGGAACACCAGUGGCGAAGGCGACUCUCUGGUCUGUAACUGACGCUGAGGAGCGAAAGCGUGGGGAGCGAACAGGAUUAGAUACCCCUGUAGUCCCUGUCUCUUAUAC